rnacentral:rRNA from 1 species
CACGGAGUUAGCCGGAGCUUAUUCUCCCGGUACUGUCAUUAUCAUCCCGGGUAAAAGAGCUUUACAACCCUAAGGCCUUCAUCACUCACGCGGCAUUGCUGGAUCAGGCUUGCGCCCGUUGUCCAAUAUUCCCUACUGCUGCCUCCCGUAGGAGUCUGGGCCGUGUCUCAGUCCCAGUGUGGCUGAUCAUCCUCUCAGACCAGCUAAGGAUCGUCGCCUUGGUGGGCCUUUACCCCACCAACUAGCUAAUCCUACGCGGGCUCAUCCUUGGGCGAUAAAUCUUUGGACUUACGUCAUCAUCCGGUAUUAGCUUCCGUUUCCAGAAGUUAUUCCGAACCCAAGGGCAGAUUCCCACGCGUUACGCACCCGUGCGCCACUAGAUCCGAAGAUCUCGUUCGACUUGCAUGUAUUAGGCAUGCCGCCAGCGUGUUCCGUACGCCACGGAGUCGAAACUACU